GAUAAAUCAUUUUUUUAGUUUUUAGAUAAAAUGUUUGACUUUUUGUCUUAUUCAAAAAAUUUAUAAUUAAUAUUUUUAUUGCUAAAACAUGAUAAAACAUGAAUAAUACUUUAUGCGUGACUAUUUUUUAUUUUUUUAUAAAUUCUUAAAUAAGACGGAUGUUCAAACGCUUAACACAGAAACCAAGAAAUACUCUUUUU
rnacentral:pre_miRNA from 1 species